rnacentral:rRNA from 1 species
GAUGAACGCUGGCGGCGUGCCUAAUACAUGCAAGUCGAGCGAACGGACGAGAAGCUUGCUUCUCUGAUGUUAGCGGCGGACGGGUGAGUAGCACGUGGAUAACCUACCUAUAAGACUGGGAUAACUUCGGGAAACCGGAGCUAAUACCGGAUAAUAUUUUGAACCGCAUGGUUCAAAAGUGAAAGACGGUCUUGCUGUCACUUAUAGAUGGAUCCGCGCUGCAUUAGCUAGUUGGUAAGGUAACGGCUUACCAAGGCAACGAUGCAUAGCCGACCUGAGAGGGUGAUCGGCCACACUGGCACUGAGACACGGUCCAGACUCCUACGGGAGGCAGCAGUAGGGAAUCUUCCGCAAUGGGCGAAAGCCUGACGGAGCAACGCCGCGUGAGUGAUGAAGGUCUUCGGAUCGUAAAACUCUGUUAUUAGGGAAGAACAUAUGUGUAAGUAACUGUGCACAUCUUGACGGUACCUAAUCAGAAAGCCACGGCUAACUACGUG